CGCCGCCCCCAAAUCGACGCCCAAAUCCUUCGUGCGCUCCACCAGAUCGCCGCCGCCGCCGCCCCCGCCCGCCACCAGACCACUGCCGCCGCCGCCCCCGAGCCAUCACACCGCCGCCGACCUCCCUCCAUCCCGAGCAGUACCGCCGUCGCCCUCCACGCCGAGCCGUGCUGCAGUCGCCCUCCACGCCGAGCCGAGCUGCAGUCGCCCUCCACCGCUCCAGAGCGGCGCCGCCGAGCACCCAAUUGACCGCAGCCGCCAGCCACUUCUGAGCGGCGCCCCCAAUCACUCCAGGUCGGGGCCCGUCGGCCGACCUCCACCCAGACCAUUUCCGUCGUCGGCAACGGAAAGGGCAAGAGGAAGCAGUGCCUUCCCAAGGCGGCAUCGUGCUCCUCUUCUCCGCGGCCGUUCACGCUGGCGAGCAUGGGAGGGCUCCCGACCACGGCUUCAUCCCCGCUGACGGCGAGCACGGUGCCUCUCCACUUAGAUCCGUGCCGGUGGAAACCCGAUGCAGUCGCAAGUACGAAGCCAGAUUUCCCCUCCCUCCUACAUCCCCCAUCCACCGAGUUAGUAAUUCUUCCGUAUUGCUGUUUUUUUUCUUUUGCUGCCAAAUUGAUGGAGGUGCUAUUAGUGAAAGGACUGGAGACUGGUUCUAGCAGCGGUAGAUUUUUCGAGAAAUUCCAAGUGCUCGUGAUUUGCAAAGGGUUUCAGCCAAGUUAGUGUACGUGUACUCUCCUAUGAUUAGUAAAAUUUCAUGUGCCUGUAUGCACCCUUUUUAGGUACAUGGAUCCAUCUUUUUUUAUUCAGGUUCAAACAUUGCACAACUGAAGACAUUUGUUAUAUAGCUCGAGACAGUUUACUCACUAUGGCUGACUGUUAUUCCAGGAUAAUAUGCAAUGUUAAGUCAAUUAUUUUCCUCAUGCUACCACAAUUUUUUCCAACAUUAAUUUUUCAGCUGCUUGAUGGAAUCAUGGAAGGAACAUACAGUGCAGUACGAGACGAGGGAUGGUCUGAUGAUGUUGUCGAGAUGAGUAUGGUGCUCAUACUGUUAUCAUUUUGUAUUCAGAAUCUUUGAUGUUAAAUGGUGGGGUGUUAAAUGCAGCCCUCGAUAAAAAAUGGAGAUUAUACUACCAUAGUUAGCUCCACUGUAGAAAGUAACAUAACCAGCCUGAAGUAGGUGUAUAUCUAUUACUCUUUAAUAGUACAUAAGCUUUUGAACCUAGUAGGUCAUUGCCUCAGAGUUAUGCCUGCUUAGAUUAAUGGUUGCUAUGCUAACAAGAUACAGUGAAAAAUUACUUUGUUUCGAAUACAGUAAGUAUAUGACCUUAUAUAAUGGUUUAUGAUUAGAAUUAGCAAGGUCCCUUCCUCUUAAUGUGUUUACACUUCCUCUGAUGAAAUAAUAUGCUGUCUAUGAACCUUAACAAUCGUCAUCUCAGCUAAACAAAAAAGGAACAAGGCCCACCAGAUUUGUUCGUAGUGCACUUUCUACAAAAUAUUGGAGUAUCUGGAUCACAAAUCUGACCUGUAAAAAUGUUCAAACUUAUUGAUAUUUUAUUCCUGAAAUUUUAAAAACAAUGAAUACAAUUUUUUAACUUAACCUGGCUUCAUGUUUUCUGUCCUGUGAAUAAAAACAAAGCUUCACUACAAGGCGAUUUUCUGGUGAAUGAAUUAAACUCAAGGUCUCUAGCAAAGGAAUCAAGUUUUUCACAACUUGUGAUUUUGAACAACAUUUUAUUUUAUUCACAAGGCGAUUUUGAACAUAAUGGUGGAUUCUAAUUAUAGUGAACUAGAUAAGCAGCCUUGGGUGACAUUUUGAGCUCUUGGCUAUUGUCUUUAACUGUCAAGUGUGUAGCAGCCAACAGUGUGAAUUUAUGAUGGUUAUUUAGUUUAUUUGAUUGUACGCUAUGCAGAGCUUUCCUCAUUAAUUCAAUUUUACACAAAAUUGGAAGGCUAUUGUAUUGCUGCGUAAACUGGAGCAAGGCCGUACCAUUUCCAUCUGACAAAACAUCCUGAAUGUCCUGUCUAGUUCUUCCACUCUAACAAGGCCAUACAUAACGGUGUUGUAAGAUGAAAGUCCGGGCAGUAUUUAGCUUUUAAACUUACAGUAUACUGCUCUUACAGUGUUGUGAGAUUGAAGGUCCAAUAUACUACACUUCAACACAGAUCUUUAUCAUUAUUUGAGAAGUAAACUUUUAAUCGGCAGUAGAGUUGUAUCUAGUAAACUUUGGAAUUUCUUGAUUAGUUUUCUGUAUCUAUGACUGCAAUGGUUGCAGCGAUCUAAUUUGCAUGUUUGUGUGUGUUCUUCAGGAAUCAUGAUACUACUUUGCGAUCUGAUUGGUGAAAGGGUAUUUUCUAUGGUUCUCUCAUAUCCGACUGGUCUUUUUCUCUCUAUAAAGUAGCAUUGAAAAUGUUCUUUUAUUUCCUCUGACCUCUCAGAAGCUCACACCUGAAUACCAUGAUAUAUGCCUUUAAGAAAACUCUGUAUGUUCUUUUGAUUUAAACCUAACACCAAACAUUUUAGUUUCUAUACUUCUGUCAGUUAAGGCUGGAAAAAUGUUUGAUUUUUGUUGUUGUACUAGUUGCCUUUGUGUGCUCAUACAAAAAUACUAGAUCCUAUGAUGUCAAAAAUUUAUACAGAUUGUGGAUGGCACUUUUUUCUCGAACGUUGUUCCUAUUGUCUUAUGUGCAGUUUUUUCAAACAGAGUUUGAUGAGUCUUCACUUUCAGGAAACUAAACUUAAUAUUAGAGGCAAUCACACCAUGCCGUUACGGGUUUAAUUAUUUGUCCAGACCUGAAACUGUUGUCAUGCUUUCCAGGAAGGGCAACUAGAUGUGCUUAAUUCAUGUGCCCAGGCUUGAAACUGCGGACAUUUUUUAGCUUUUUAUUAAAUCGAAUAUUCACUCGAUGCCUUGAAGGGAAAUUUGUCGAGAAAAUGUUGGGCGGUGCAUCUUUGUAGAUUCUGAGUAUCGUAAUAAAUGUAAUGGAUAUAAUGUUUUCUAAUACAUGACUUGUGAUUUGAUGUCUUCCUGUCCAGGUUGAAAAUGUUCCUGUAAGAUUCGUUAAGACGCCUUGCCGUAACCAUAUGCCGUGAGCUCACACAGAAGAACUUACAGGCUUUACUCUUUGUGUUUGUUACAUCUUGUACUGUCGGAUGUCUAGAGACUAUAGAUGCUAAAUUAUGAGGGAAGUCUUCAUGUGUAAUCAGUGAAUUGCAUAGAUUGUAAAAUGUUUAAUGAUCAAACUUUAUAAUAUAUAUGCGAUGUGCACCUGCAUAAUUUUUUUGCUUUA